rnacentral:rRNA from 1 species
GAUGAACGCUGGCGGCGUGCCUAAUACAUGCAAGUCGAGCGAACAGACGAGGAGCUUGCUCCUCUGACGUUAGCGGCGGACGGGUGAGUAACACGUGGAUAACCUACCUAUAAGACUGGGAUAACUUCGUGAAACCGGAGCUAGUACCGGAUAAUAUAUUGAACCGCAUGGUUCAAUAGUGAAAGACGGUUUUGCUGUCACUUAUAGAUGGAUCCGCGCCGCAUUAGCUAGUUGGUAAGGUAACGGCUUACCAAGGCAACGAUGCGUAGCCGACCUGAGAGGGUGAUCGGCCACACUGGAACUGAGACACGGUCCAGACUCCUACGGGAGGCAGCAGUAGGGAAUCUUCCGCAAUGGGCGAAAGCCUGACGGAGCAACGCCGCGUGAGUGAUGAAGGUCUUCGGAUCGUAAAACUCUGUUAUUAGGGAAGAACAAAUGUGUAAGUAACUAUGCACGUCUUGACGGUACCUAAUCAGAAAGCCACGGCUAACUACGUG